AGGAAGAGGAUGCGAAUGGAGGGCCGUGCAACAGCUCGCUCAGUGACACGGCAUUCUGGAACCAGAAUCCUCCUCCGGGGCGGGGAGGCACGCCACCUCCAGAUACACCUGAAACCCAUUGCUUAGAGACACUCGACAGCAAGACAUUCACUCCGACAAAACCAGAGGAUAAAAUUUAAGCUGAUCAAGUUCACACCUUCUAUGAUUCGGCCCCCUCUGCAGCUCCAGCCACUUCUCCUUCUGGUUUACGUUGCAUGCCUAUACCUCUACCCACAGCUUUAUCCGGCCAGGCUGAAGAACCGGCAAUAGAGGUCCGAUCUAAGCAGAGUUAACCACCAGCAGCAUGGAAGGGACGUGAAUCAGUACUUGUACCUGGGGAAAGAUGCCUCAAAACCUGGAAAUACAAUCCCAUAUGCGGAGCAGUGGUAAUUCUCAAAUAUGAGCUGCAUCGGGGAAACCAUUCACUGUCUCGUUGGCAUGAUCCUUGCAGGCAUUAACACACAGUUCAAGGGCUUCGAACAGAGGAGUGCCUCCUGUGGAUUGCACGUGUUACAUGAUCAGCAGAGCUAAGCUUACAGCCUCCAUCUGGAAGGAAGGAAGGAAGGAAGGAAGGAAGGAAGGCAGGAAGGCA